UACGGGGGGGGCAAGCGUUGUUCGGAAUUACUGGGCGUAAAGGGCUCGUAGGUGGCCAACUAAGUCAGACGUGAAAUCCCCAGGCUUAACCUGGGAACUGCGUCUGAUACUGGAUGGCUUGAAUUCGUGAGAGGGAUGCAGAAUUCCAGGUGUAGCGGUGAAAUGCGUAGAUAUCUGGAGGAAUACCGGUGGCGAAGGCGGCAUCCUGGACCGAUAUUGACACUGAUGAGCGAAAGCCAGGGGAGCAAACGGG
rnacentral:rRNA from 1 species